AUUGAACGCUGGCGGCAGGCCUAACACAUGCAAGUCGAACGAGUCGCGGACGUGUGACUAAUGUCUGGGAAAGUGCCUGAGGGAGGGGGAUAGCUACUGGAAGCGGUAGCUAAUACCGUAUACCAUAGGCUGUGCCCAGGUGGGAGUGGCUGGUUGGUGGGGUAAAGGCACACCAAGGCGACGAUCCCUAGCUGGUCUGAGAGGAUGACCAGCACAACGGGAACUGAGACACGGUCCAGACUCCUACGGGAGGCAGCAGGGGGGAAUAUUGCACAAUGGGCGCAAGCCUGAUGCAGCCAUGCCGCGGGUAUGAAGAAGGCCUUCGGGUUGUAAAGCACUUGCAGCGGGGAGGCGUUACCCGCAGAAGAAGCACCGGAUAACUCCGUGCCAGCAGCCGCGGUAAUUC
rnacentral:rRNA from 1 species